GUGGGUUCGUGUCGACACUCUACAGCCUGAUAAUGAAGAAGUUCCCAAUGCUAAUUCCGCUAACCUGCCGAUCUGCUGAUGUAAAUCCGAAGACCUAAUGCCUCGCACAACGGCUAGCACCAUUUUACCCUCAUUUCUGGAUUGGGAUGAUAUUUUCCCGGCAGCUAGUGAAUGUUUUGAUUGUGGCAUCUUGGAUCGAGUUUUGGAGAAAUUUUAGUGAAACGUGCUUGGCUCGGAAGGUCAAGAACACGUCGUUAGGCCGUCCGGCUUCAGAUUUGGGACUCGAAUUCGAUGAUUUAGAAUCGAAGCAGAAGCAAGCCAUUGAUUUGCUGAUGAAGGAGACGAAGGGGGAAACUAAGAUUAGGGAAGUUGCAUAAUAAUUAUGUCAAUUAAGAGAUGUUGAUUAUUGAUAUAUCAAUCUACGCGUUUAAUGUUUUGAAGAACUUUCGAGUGGAAAAAAAUGAUAUAUUAUCAAUCUGAAUUUAGAAUUUUUAACGUAGACUGGUGCUUUUUUUCAACUUUGUUCUUGUCCGCCGUUCAGUCCACUUUCAUUAUUGUAUUUCCACUUUCAUUAUAAUAUUUUUCCUUUGCA